rnacentral:rRNA from 1 species
UACGUAGGGUGCAAGCGUUGUCCGGAAUUAUUGGGCGUAAAGAGCUUGUAGGCGGUUUUGUCGCGUCUGCUGUGAAAAUUUUCGGGGCUCAACCCCCGAACUUGCAGUGGGUACGGGCAGACUAGAGUGUGGUAGGGGAGACUGGAAUUCCUGGUGUAGCGGUGGAAUGCGCAGAUAUCAGGAGGAACACCAAUGGCGAAGGCAGAUCUCUGGGCCGUAACUGACGCUGAGGAGCGAAAGCAUGGGGAGCGAAACAGG